GGGUCAGUAGGUUGGUCGUGCCACCGGUACGUACUGGUCUCACUGAUUCCUCCUUCCUGAAGAACCGUAAUGCCAUUAAUUUGGUGUUGCGGGGAAACAGGACUGUUACUUUGAAAAAAUCAGAGUGUUUAAAGCAAGCUAACGCUUGAAUACAUUAGCAUGGAAUAAUGAAAUAGGACGAUUGAUCCUAUUUUGUCGGUUUCUAGGAUUGACGUA
rnacentral:rRNA from 1 species